rnacentral:rRNA from 1 species
AUUGAACGCUGGCGGCAGGCCUAACACAUGCAAGUCGAGCGGAUGAAGGGAGCUUGCUCCUGGAUUCAGCGGCGGAUGGGUGAGUAAUGCCUAGGAAUCUGCCUGGUAGUGGGGGAUAACGUCCGGAAACGGGCGCUAAUACCGCAUACGUCCUGAGGGAGAAAGUGGGGGAUCUUCGGACCUCACGCUAUCAGAUGAGCCUAGGUCGGAUUAGCUAGUUGGUGGGGUAAAGGCCUACCAAGGCGACGAUCCGUAACUGGUCUGAGAGGAUGAUCAGUCACACUGGAACUGGAGCACGGUCCAGACUCCUACGGGAGGCAGCAGUGGGGAAUAUUGGACAAUGGGCGAAAGCCUGAUCCAGCCAUGCCGCGUGUGUGAAGAAGGUCUUCGGAUUGUAAAGCACUUUAAGUUGGGAGGAAGGGCAGUAAGUUAAUACCUUGCUGUUUUGACGUUACCAACAGAAUAAGCACCGGCUAACUUCGUG